rnacentral:rRNA from 1 species
AACCUGCCCCAUAGUCUGGGAUACCACUUGGAAACAGGUGCUAAUACCGGAUAAGAAAGCAGAUCGCAUGAUCAGCUUUUAAAAGGCGGCGUAAGCUGUCGCUAUGGGAUGGCCCCGCGGUGCAUUAGCUAGCUGGUAAGGUAAAGGCUUACCAAGGCGAUGAUGCAUAGCCGAGUUGAGAGACUGAUCGGCCACAUUGGGACUGAGACACGGCCCAAACUCCUACGGGAGGCAGCAGCU